AACAUUAGCACGAUAAAAUUUCCUCCGAGGAGGGACGAAAAAACAAUUCUUGUUUGGUGUUUAAAAUCGUUCUCCAAACGAUCGUUUUGUAAUGGAAACUAAUCUAUAUUUUCUCAUUUUAGAACCGCAAAUGUUCCAGUGAUUCCGGGAACCUAUCAGAAAAGGUCAAAGCUUUAGCAAAUUGAUUCAGAAGCAUAGAAAAAAAUCUAAUCACCAACUUAGUUGGCUUAUUCAUCAGAGGCUUAAGUUCUCAGGAAGCCUUUCCGGUAGAGGACUUGAAUGAAUCAGACCGGUUGCAGUUGGCAAUCCGUGAUCCGAUCAUGUCUCGUCUCUCGUACUUAGUGGCACUUAACCAAGCUCAUAUGCUCAAGACUAGCAGUAGAAAUUUUUCAAAUAAUUUGAAUUUGUCUUCAACGCCUAAACCUGAGAAAAACGAUUUAGGAAAUGGAAGUAUCGUUAGAAACGUUUGUAGGAACCAAAAAGGAAAAGACAUUCCCAUGAAAGAAGUAACGGUGUGCUCUUUCCACGAGUUAGAGAAGUUAAAAGUUUCGCCGCGUGUCGUUAAACCUUUUUUCAAGAACCAUCGAAAGCAAUCGCGAGGAAGUUUAUUGAAUUUGGAAGAUGACAAGAAGUAUCGUAGGCGUAUUGCGUGGAGCAACAAAGUUUCGAGAAAACAAACUUGCAAUUUGAAUUUAGAAGCCGAAUCUGAAUUCACCUCGUACCAAGAUCAACGUCGCGCGAAUCGGAACGCACUAUCGAGUCCCAAGAUUCGCGUAAUAUCAGACCGGUUUUCAAGUGGAAUCCCAUCAACUAUAGUGAAAUUACCUGCCCGAAUUUGAUGCUAGUUUUCCGCGGAGUACAAUCUAUCGCGAACGUCGCGGAAAGCUUUCGAAGAUCAUUUCCGGAUACCUACCACCCAUCUUCGUGGCCCGUCAAAAACUUGUUUCGAAUUUAAAAAACGAAAACUUAACUUCCGAAAACAGAUAGCCCGUGAAAUCAAAUCCGUUUGCUUUUCCUCGAUGGAAAUCAGAUUAACCUUUCGCGCACGAUUACCCGAAACCCUCGUUCAAGGGAAAUAGUACAAAUUUCCAGAAUUUAUCGAUACCCGUUUUAAAAAUCAAGAAUUUUUAACUAUUUUUCUUAUUACAUUAUCUGAUAGCCGAAGAAACGCGAGAGUCUUCCAGAUAAAAACAUAACAGCUGAAAAAUCUUUACAUUAACGACCAGAAGCGAAGUUCUGGAAUACGUUCAAAUCGACAGAAGAAAAUCCGCGUUCGCGUGUCUACGUUUCCUACCAGAUAAAACGAAAAUGCUCACUGAAUAAUGCGAAAUAAUCCGAAACUUUUUUGAACAUUCGAAUCGAACAAGAACAAUCUCAGUCCAGAUACUUUACCUAGCGUAACGCCAGAAUUGCUGGUUACACACGACUUUUUGUGUAACUUUGCGCUUUCAAAACUACAAAAAACUGCCAUGCGUGGCAUGGCAAACUCAAACCUCGUCCUAACUAAUCCGUACAUUUGGCCUUUAAAAAGUGCGAAAUUGUACGUAAAAUCGACUAUGGAUAACAAUCUACAAUUAUUGCUUAGACUUUCGCGAUACGUAAUCCGUUUUGUCAUGAGCAAGUAACCGACUAAAAUUUGUCCGUUAACAAAUUUCUAAACGCUUAUUUAAACGCGUUAUUUCCAUGAAGCUCAUCGGGGCGAUCGAGAUGUUGAAUCCGAUAGAUAUCUCUAAAUUCCAGUCACCUUUAAAAAAUUUCCCGGUUUUAAUUUCUAUUCCCCUCCGGUUCGGGUGGAAAAACCUAACGGUUUGCAACGAACAGAUGGAUUAAACAAAAAUGUAGGAAAUAGUCGCUGAUGUUGUGGGAAUUUCGGAUUCUAUCACACAAAAUACGUUUUUACGUGCCAUUUACGUCAACUAAAAAUAGAAAACAGAAAUAUCAGAACUAACAAAAAGAUUGACGAACUAAAACUUCUCCAUGGUUUGCGAGGUCGUUAAUUAGGUCCACUUAUGGUUCCUUCUCAACAGCAGUGCUAUGCCGCUGAUGAGUGUCAUCGGGGCCAUAUCCGCAGCUGACUCGAAACCUGAAAAUAGAAAAAAGUACGAAACAAUAUAAGUAUCUGUCCAUUAUGUUGAACGAUACAUAAAACUUACCCUUUAGAUUAUCUGCUGUUAAUUUUCUUCCACUUCCAACUGCCUAGGUCAGUCCAGGUGUGAAAUCUAGAAAAAAACACAGAAAAAUAAUCAUUUUACCAGCUGAUGAAAAGCUGAUUUUCGGAUGUGUUUUAGCGGAAGGCUAACACAAUCAAAACAACACUUACCUGGUGAUUUUUGGGGAAGCAAUUUCGGCCUUUCCGGAUUUUUCCUCACCGCAGUUUUAGCUGAAACCGACAAGAGAAAUAAAAACAUUAGAAGGAAACUAAAAUCUGCAAAUUGAGCUCUAGAGGAUCAAUGUUGUGAAAAUAAGCUUGAAAACUUACCUUUAAAAUCCACCAACUUUGAACACCGGUGAAUAUAUAUAUGAAAAUUAAUCAUAAAAUUUGGAUCCAUAAAUUGAAAAUUGUAAACAAACAUUCUUUACCUUUUGUACUGACGUUUCCCGUGAGUGGUCGUCAACAAAAAGAGAUACUGCAGUGAGUUACACUGAGCAACUCGACGCUGUUCCGAUCACUUGAUGAUUGUGAAAUAGGCAAUGUACGAGUAUUAUGAACAUAAGCAUAAUUUUUAUUUUGCUAAUUCAAAAUAGAAAAAUUUGAAAGAAUUGUGUUGCAUUCAUCUCUCCGCGUACAAAAUGAAUGAAGUUUCAUUCAUUUUGAAGAGGGACGAUGGGGUAAUGUAACCGUUCAUUACAUACAAAAUAAUGUGUCUUCGACACAUUGAGAAAUCAGUACCUUAAUCAUGACUUAGAAAUGUCAAAGCCAUCGACACUCACAAGGGCUCUCAGGGAUUCCUUCCUUUUUACCGCCUUCCCAAAGAAGCACGCAGCCACUUCUCUCGCGAGAGAUGUUCAUGGGCGUCGGAGGAUCUCCUGCGUCACCGCGAGGAAGUGUUAUCACCCGGAGAGCGACACAUCCGCGUAAUUUCAUCUUUGUAUGUGUGUCGGUCAAAAAUAUCAUAGACCUUUUUACAAAACGGAUUUGCAUAGCCGUUCUUUCUGUCUGGGACCGUUUUGAAGAACGGAAGUGCGCGUCGUGUAGUAUAUAAAAAGCCUUGCGAACAAACACGUUAAAAUUAAAAGGAAACUGUGUUAAAAUGUAUCAAAAAUAGAAAGCCAAUACAAAAAGUGCUUAAACUACACACAAGACCUAGUGUAACAGCACGCUCUACAAAAAAAAAAACAACAUAAAAAGGUCCAAGAGGGCCUUUUUUGUUUUGGUUUAUUCCUUUUCGUUCGGCUAAGCAGCACACGGCACAACAAAGUCCAACAUCCAGACAGGAAGAAUCUACCGACUUGCUAAAAUACCAUCCACACGGUAUCGACUGGAACGGUCAUCACCAGCGGUGUUAGAAACAUCGAUCCGCAGCUCGUGGGCUCUUCCGGGACGCCGGAAUGGAGCCUAUGAGGUUAGAACCAGUUCUAGACAGACGUGGAAUCUGUCAACCAGAGGAAAGUCUCCGGUCCCAGUAUUUCGGGUUCCGGCAAACAGCCAUGCAGAGCCAAA